rnacentral:rRNA from 1 species
AUUGAACGCUGGCGGCAGGCCUAACACAUGCAAGUCGAGCGGCAGCGGAAAGUAGCUUGCUACUUUGCCGGCGAGCGGCGGACGGGUGAGUAAUGUCUGGGAAACUGCCUGAUGGAGGGGGAUAACUACUGGAAACGGUAGCUAAUACCGCAUAACGUCGCAAGACCAAAGAGGGGGACCUUCGGGCCUCUUGCCAUCAGAUGUGCCCAGAUGGGAUUAGCUAGUAGGUGGGGUAAUGGCUCACCUAGGCGACGAUCCCUAGCUGGUCUGAGAGGAUGACCAGCCACACUGGAACUGAGACACGGUCCAGACUCCUACGGGAGGCAGCAGUGGGGAAUAUUGCACAAUGGGCGCAAGCCUGAUGCAGCCAUGCCGCGUGUAUGAAGAGGGCCUUCGGGUUGUAAAGUACUUUCAGCGGGGAGGAAGGCGAUAAGGUUAAUAACCUUGUCGAUUGACGUUACCCGCAGAGGAAGCACCGGCUAACUCCGUGCCAGCCGCCGCUGUAA